UUGUCAACAUAAUGUGAUGUGCUUAUCUGAUGAUUUAUUUUAUGAAACGUCAAAAUAACUUUGGGCUCAAAAGUCAAUCUAAAUCUGUAACUUUUGUUUGAAAAUCAUAAUUUUAAUGGCUGCCUAUGACCUAGAACAGCUUUUGGCCAAAUAGCCACAAGUCUGUCACUACCCCAAGCAUAGAUAUUUUAGUCAAAAAUUUAAAGGAAAUACCAAUAUUUGGCUGGGGAGUAAGGGUUGGUCUAUUUGUUAUUUGCACAGUGGGACUAUUUCUCUUAUUUUUGUGUCUUAAAUCAGGAGCAUAUAAACUCUUGGCUCUGUUUGUUCCUGCCCUUUUUGGUCUGUUCAUUUCUGUGCUUGGCAGAGAAAAUAACUUAGAGAAAUUAGCUGCCCAAAUGUGUGAUUUCUUGGUCUACCAGGGCUGGGUGUGAAGCAGGUGCUUCCAGGACAUUCCUGGGUUGUCCAGGGUGCUCAUGUGUAAUCAUCUGUCUACACAGUAUAGCAACAUCAUUUCCCAGCAUCCCUCUGGUUCCAACAAGCUGGAUCACUCUGUGUCUUUGCAGUUCUCUGUGAUAGACACUGGCAGCUGGUGAUAUGUGGGGCUGACAGUUUCCCCUGAAACUUGGCAAUGAGGGGAACAAGGACAUAGGCAGAGCUGUGCAGCCUGAGAGCCCUGAGAAGGAGGUUGGGAAGUGUGCUCUGGGGUCUCUCCAGUAGCAGACGCAGGUUCAGCAGAGCUGGAAUUGGCCCAAAAUAAUGAAUUUGUCCUCCUGGAACAAAAACAGGGAAAGAACUGAGCUCACUUGGAUGUCCCAGGUUGAGACAGGAGAGGUCAUUUAGGUCCAUUAAGAGCCAGGAGUGUGUCAUCUGUCUUAUAUCAUGGGAUAUAAGAAAGUGGGGAUCAGAGGAACAAAUCUGAUGGUGAGCUCCCUGUAGGUCUACCCAGGUCUACCCAGGCAAGAGGAGACUCGAUUCUGGGGAAUGUGGGUCAUACAGUUUUCUUUUGCAAGAGCAUCCUCAGUGUGUCUUUGGGUAACUGUCACCCGCCCGUAAUGACAUGUUUAGUGUCUGGCUUCUCUCUUAGGACCAUACACUCAGUGAGGCAGGGCCUAGGUUGGUCUGGUUCUUAGAUGGUUCCCCACUGCCCAGCAAAAGGUCUAGUGGGCCAUGACCAGAGAGGUGUGCUAUACCUUUGGGGCAGACUGCCUCAGCAAGAGACCUGUUUUUCCUGUGCUCUCUGCUUCCUGUGUGCUGAUUUCACUCCUGUCUCACAGUGGCCAUGCCCCAUUCCUGGGUUGGUGACCCCUGACAGCAGUGAGCAUUCUGGUCACUAUUACUCAUAUACCUCACCCAAUGUAAAUGAAUGCAUUUAGAUGGGAUUUUAUAGCUCUCUUCUGCAUUGGAUCAGCAUCAGUUGAUUACUAAUAAGUAUUUUCAUCUCUGCAUGAAUGACGGAGUCCUCUUCCUGGUCAGUUAAGGCCAGACUCUGAUCAUGGUAAAUUUGCUAAGAAAUGCCAAAGCAGCGUCACCCUCUGAGGUCCCUUGGUGUUACCACCCUUUUGUCAACUCAUGUAUGAUCCCACCUGAUUCAUUCAGUUCAAAGCUUUAACACGGCUAGAAGCCUCUGAAGGGAGCUAUGAAGCAUGCCAGCUGGUCAUUUGAGCACCAGGGCCCUGGUGCCUGGUUCCAGUUCUCACUUGCCACUUCCCAGCUGUGUGACUUCUGUGAGUUUAGCAACCUCUCUGGGCUCAGUUUUCUUAUGGGGAUGAUAACAGUUAAUGGCCUCAGCAUAGGUAAGGGAUUAAGUGAAUAAAGACAUAUAAGGACUCCACACAGGGCCUGGCACACUGGAAAGGCUCAGCGAGUGUUUGCUCUGAUGAUUCUCAAGCAUUGUUAUCUCUUAACUUGCUUUUUAAUAUUCAUCUUUUUCAGCAAGGCCCUGAACCUCCCCUCUUCACCACGUGCAUUCAUUCAUCCAUCCCUCUGUCCAACUUCAUCUAAUGGGGCCAGCGUGGCUACAUCAACACAGCUGCCCUUGUGUUUCUGGAACAGUAAGAAGGGUUCUGAGCCCCAUGAGAGCAGAAGCAGGCCUAUAUACCUUCACAUCUGUAUCCUCAGGGCCUGGAUCAGGGCUGGCCCUGAAGAGGUACUCAGGAAUGUUUGGUAAAGAAACGUUCUCAGCAUUUGUCUUCCCAGCUGACCAGGAAGGUUCCACUUGAUCCUGGGCACCCGUUCUGGGUACAGCAUAGGCUAUUGGCCAACACAUGCUCAGCUGUGCCAAAGAUGAGAGGAGCAGGGCAUGUGCCUCGGGCAGCUCUGGUAGUUUCAUUAAGAUUCCUGUUUGCUGGGUAUGUCGUGGGGAAGCUGAUCAUGGUGUUCCCACCACCACGGCUAGCUGGGAAAGCCUUGUCUCACCUACCUCCAUCUCCUGCUUCCUGGGCACCUGCUUGCGGGAGAGAGAGAGAGCAAUUCAGGUAUGCCACAAGGGGAACUUACCUGCCUAAAUGCAGGUUUGUCAAGAAUUCUUGUCCAGCCAGAAAAAAUCUUGUCAGGCUGAAGCGAAGUGAUACAUGAUUUUUUUUUUUAAAGUCUGCUUUAAAUUUCUCGUGGCUUCCAAAAAAGCGGCUAGCAUACUUCCAUAUGGGAUAAACUGGUAUUCCAUUAGAUUAACUCAUGCAACAUUUUCUGAGAACCUACUGUGCCCCAGGUACCAGAGAUGCCACAAUGAGUAAAACCUACCCCACCAGGCUGUGCCAUGUGGCCAGAAGAGCCCAGAUGAGGAGGCUGUGGGUCUCUCCAGUAGCAGGUGUGGGGUCAGGCUCGUGGUCAUCUUAGCCUCUUCCAGUCCUGCUUGUCUGGAGUCUGUGUGAUGUAGGGGCAAGAGCACUGAGAGGACGUUGAAGGCCCUGGAUUCUGUCUCUUGUUUGUCCUUCACCCGCUGAAUGUCUGACAAAUGGUUUCUUCAUCUGUAAAUGAGAGAGCCACACUAAUUAAAGGUCUGGAAGGGCCCUUGAGGACACACAUUCCAUGUUCUGUGAUCCCCACUUCUCUGUGUGUGUUUUCUCUUUUUUCUCUCAGCACACUGGGGCCAGACACUGCCGCUACAUGUGGUGGAACCAAGUGACAGAGGGGGAGUAAGCGGAGGCUGGAAUUUCUCCCUCUGUUGGCUCUCCCUGACCACCUGCCUGCUUAGCCUCUCCUCUUCCCCCAGUGAAAGUGCUGCAGCAAUCUCGGCCUUUGGCACUCUCCUCAGGAAUUUAUGAAGCUUGUGAUGUGAAUGAUGGAGCCAGCUAAGCCUCCUCUGCACUGACAGCUCAGCACAAUGACCUGUUGGGUGAUGAAAGAAAUGCCAGGUGCUUCAGUUUUCUGUUCCACCGAGUGGAUGUGUCCCCCGCCUCUGUCUCUCAGCUUCUGGAGGAAUUGAAGCCUGUGACAUGUUUCGUUCCCAGAUGCUUCUUGCAGCCUCUACCCGACACUGCUUAUGGAAGCUGAGGCUCAGAGAGGGCUCUGGAAUAUUUCAGCCGCUUACAUGUAGCCAUUUUGGUGUGGUUGUGUCAAAAUGACUUUGCCCAGAUGCAAAACCACUGGUAACUUAAACUUCUUUUUUAAGUAGUAUCUCCCAGGGAUCUCUGUAAGCCAUGUCACCCCCACCUGGUCUCUCCCUUUCCUCUUCCUCAACCCUGCCCUGACCCUGACUUACCCAACCCCUGCUUGAUCUUCAUGUGAUGAUGAGGCAGGUGUGGGGAAGAAGAAAGUAUUUGCAUAUUACUUGGUAAUUUUUCAGGAGGUAAAUGUUGGAUGCAUGUGCCUGCUGUUGUUUUGGUUUUAGGUGGCAUUAAACUGUUCCAACAUGG